CCUACGGGCGGCAGCAGUGAGGAAUAUUGGUCAAUGGGCGGGAGCCUGAACCAGCCAAGCCGCGUGAGGGAUGAAGGUACUGCGUAUUGUAAACCUCUUUUGUCAGGGAACAAAGGCGGGGACUAGUCCCCUGAUGAGGGUACCUGAUGAAAAAGCAUCGGCUAACUCCGUGCCAGCAGCCGCGGUAAUACGGAGGAUGCGAGCGUUAUCCGGAUUUAUUGGGUUUAAAGGGUGCGCAGGCGGCCUGUUAAGUCAGCGGUAAAAUUCCGGGGCUCAACCCCGGCGAGCCGUUGAUACUGGCAGGCUGGAGUUGGAUAGAGGUACGCGGAAUGCGUGGUGUAGUGGUGAAAUGCUUAGAUAUCGCGCAGAACCCCGAUUGCGAAGGCAGCGUACCGGCUCCACACUGACGCUGAGGGACGAAAGCGUGGGUAUCGAACAGGAUUAGAUACCCGGGUAGUC
rnacentral:rRNA from 1 species